rnacentral:rRNA from 1 species
AACAGGAUUAGAUACCCUGGUAGUCCACGCCGUAAACGAUGAUUACUAGUUGUUGGAGUAACACUUCAGUGACCAAGGGAAACCGAUAAGUAAUCCACCUGGGGAGUACGCCGGCAACGGUGAAACUCAAAGGAAUUGACGGGNNNNNCGAUGAUACGCGAGGAACCUUACCUAGGCUAGAAUGUGAGUGAAUAUUACAGAGAUGUGAUAGUCAGCAAUGACACAAAACAAGGUGCUGCAUGGCCGUCGUCAGUUCGUGCCGUGAGGUGUUGGGUUAAGUCCCGCAACGAACGCAACCCCUAUAUUCUGUUGCCAGCAUUUCGGAUGGGGACUCAGGAUAGACUGCCUACGCAAGUAGAGAGGAAGGAGGGGACGACGUCAGGUCAUCAUGGCCCUUACGCCUAGGGCGACACACGUGCUACAAUGGUGGGUACAGAGUGCAGCAAGCCGGUAACGGCAAGCGAAUCACAAAAAGCCUAUCACAGUUCGGAUUGGGGUCUGCAACUCGACCCUAUGAAGCUGGAAUCGCUAGUAAUCGCAUAUCAGCCAUGAUGCGGUGAAUACGUUCCCGGACCUUGUACACACCGCCCGUCAAGCCAUGGGAGUUGGGUAGACCUGAAGCGGAAGGUAACAGACUUCGUUAGGGUAGAACCAGUGACUGGGGCUAAGUCGUAACAAGGUAGCCGUACCGGAAGGUG